rnacentral:rRNA from 1 species
GAUGAACGCUGGCGGCGUGCCUAAUACAUGCAAGUCGAGCGAAUGGAUUAAGAGCUUGCUCUUAUGAAGUUAGCGGCGGACGGGUGAGUAACACGUGGGUAACCUGCCCAUAAGACUGGGAUAACUCCGGGAAACCGGGGCUAAUACCGGAUAACAUUUUGAGCCGCAUGGUUCGAAAUUGAAAGGCGGCUUCGGCUGUCACUUAUGGAUGGACCCGCGUCGCAUUAGCUAGUUGGUGAGGUAACGGCUCACCAAGGCAACGAUGCGUAGCCGACCUGAGAGGGUGAUCGGCCACACUGGGACUGAGACACGGCCCAGACUCCUACGGGAGGAAGCAGUAGGGAAUCUUCCGCAAUGGACGAAAGUCUGACGGAGCAACGCCGCGUGAGUGAUGAAGGCUUUCGGGUCGUAAAACUCUGUUGUUAGGGAAGAACAAGUGCUAGUUGAAUAAGCUGGCACCUUGACGGUACCUAACCAGAAAGCCACGGCUAACUACGUGCCAGCAGCCGCGGUAA